GCACAAGCGGUGGAGCAUGUGGUUAAUUCGAAGCAACGCGAAGAACCUUACCAGGUCUUGACAUCCCCUGACAACCCGAGAGAUCGGGCGUUCCCCUUCGGGGGACAGGGUGACAGGUGGUGCAUGGUUGUCGUCAGCUCGUGUCGUGAGAUGUUGGGUUAAGUCCCGCAACGAGCGCAACCCUCGACCUUAGUUGCCAGCAUUCAGUUGGGCACUCUAAGGUGACUGCCGGCUAAAAGUCGGAGGAAGUGGGGAUGACGUCAAAUCAUCAUGCCCCUUAUGACCUGGGCUACACACGUGCUACAAUGGGCGGUACAAAGGGUCGCGAACCCGCGAGGGGGAGCCAAUCCCAAAAAGCCGCUCUCAGUUCGGAUUGCAGGCUGCAACUCGCCUGCAUGAAGCCGGAAUCGCUAGUAAUCGCGGAUCAGCAUGCCACGGUGAAUACGUUCCCGGGCCUU
rnacentral:rRNA from 1 species